UGGGGAAUAUUGCACAAUGGGCGCAAGCCUGAUGCAGCCAUGCCGCGUGUGUGAAGAAGGCCUUCGGGUUGUAAAGCACUUUCAGCGGGGAGGAAGGCGGUGAGGUUAAUAACCUCAUCGAUUGACGUUACCCGCAGAAGAAGCACCGGCUAACUCCGUGCCAGCAGCCGCGGUAAUACGUAGGGUGCAAGCGUUAAUCGGAAUUACUGGGCGUAAAGCGCACGCAGUCGGUCUGUCAUGUCGGAUGUGAAAUCCCCGGGCUGAACCUGGGAACUGGAUGUGAAACAGGCGGGGUGGAGGCUUGUAGAGGAGGGUAGGAUUCCAGGUGGAGCGGUGAAAUGCGAAAAGCUCUGGAGGAAUACCGGGUGCGAAGGCGGCCCCCUGGACAAAGACUGACGCUAAGGUGUGAAAGCGUGGGGAGCAAACAGG
rnacentral:rRNA from 1 species